rnacentral:rRNA from 1 species
GAUGAACGCUGGCGGCGUGCCUAAUACAUGCAAGUCGAGCGAACGGACGAGAAGCUUGCUUCUCUGAUGUUAGCGGCGGACGGGUGAGUAACACGUGGAUAACCUACCUAUAAGACUGGGAUAACUUCGGGAAACCGGAGCUAAUACCGGAUGAUAUUUUGAACCGCAUGGUUCAAAAGUGAAAGACGGUCUUGCUGUCACUUAUAGAUGGAUCCGCGCUGCAUUAGCUAGUUGGUAAGGUAACGGCUUACCAAGGCAACGAUGCAUAGCCGACCUGAGAGGGUGAUCGGCGACACGGGAGCUGAGACACGGACCAGACUCCUACGGGAGGCAGCAGUAGGGAAUCUUCCGCAAUGGGCGAAAGCCUGACGGAGCAACGCCGCGUGAGUGAUGAAGGUCUUCGGAUCGUAAAACUCUGUUAUUAGGGAAGAACAUAUGUGUAAGUAACUGUGCACAUCUUGACGGUACCUAAUCAGAAAGCCACGGCUAACUACGUG